GAUGAACGCUGGCGGCGUGCCUAAUACAUGCAAGUCGAGCGAACGGACGAGAAGCUUGCUUCUCUGAUGUUAGCGGCGGACGGGUGAGUAACACGUGGAUAACCUACCUAUAAGACUGGGAUAACUUCGGGAAACCGGAGCUAAUACCGGAUAAUAUUUUGAACCGCAUGGUUCAAAAGUGAAAGACGGCCUUGCUGUCACUUAUAGAUGGAUCCGCGCUGCAUUAGCUAGUUGGUAAGGUAACGGCUUACCAAGGCAACGAUGCAUAGCCGACCUGAGAGGGUGAUCGGCCGCACUGGAACUGAGACACGGUCCAGACUCCUACGGGAGGCAGCAGUAGGGAAUCUUCCGCAAUGGGCGAAAGCCUGACGGAGCAACGCCGCGUGAGUGAUGAAGGUCUUCGGAUCGUAAAACUCUGUUAUUAGGGAAGAACAUAUGUGUAAGUAACUGUGCACAUCUUGACGGUACCUAAUCAGAAAGCCACGGCUAACUACGUG
rnacentral:rRNA from 1 species